rnacentral:rRNA from 1 species
UACGUACUGUGCGAACGUUAUUCGGAAUCACUGGGCUUAAAGGGUGCGUAGGCGGCCGACUAAGUAGGGUGUGAAAUGCCAGAGCUCAACUUUGGCAUUGCGCUCUAGACUGGUUGGCUUGAGUGAGAUAGGGGUGUGCGGAACUUCCAGUGGAGCGGUGAAAUGUGUUGAUAUUGGAAGGAACGCCGGUGGCGAAAGCGGCACACUGGGUCUUAACUGACGCUGAGGCACGAAAGCCAGGGGAGCGAACGGG